GGCUUGUUGGCGUAAUGGUAACGCAUUCCAUGUACCUAUAGCAUUUGCAUAUCAGUUGAUGGAAGGUUCAGAGGUCGAUUCUCCAUCAAGCCA